UCAGAUAUGAAUAAGCUGUUGGAGUAGAGGGUUGCUUUGCUCCUAAGCAUGAUGGGAUGAGAUACUAUCCACUUCAUUGGGCUGUAUUUAACAAUCAAGCAGAAACUCCAUAAUACAUUUGAGCUUUUCACUUGAAAACUACACACACCUGUAACAUACAAUAGUAAGUACUGUUGUGCCACAUUGUGAACAUUAUCCCGACACUGACAGCAUCAUUUGCGAUAAUUAUCAAAAGAAUAGAUCUAAUGGUUAUGCUUUUUGCAGCCUCAAAUAUUUGCAUUGAAAUAGAUGGAAUGAAAGCAUUCAUUUUCAAAGAACUGGCAGUUGAUACUGAGUACAAUUUUAACUGCUCACCUAAUGUUGUCCAAGGAGGUUAUAUUUUGUGAAGCUUUCAAACUGGUAUGUGGUGCACUAACCCGUAAACCCUUCCACCACGGAGCCAUGUUUCUGGAGCUCUUGGUGGAGUUGCAACCUAUAUCAGAGGAAGACUAUUGAUUGC
rnacentral:lncRNA from 1 species